rnacentral:rRNA from 1 species
GAGUGGUGAUCGUGAUUAUUGGGUCUAAAGGGUCCGUAGCCGGUUUGGUCAGUCCUCCGGGAAAUCUGAUAGCUCAACUAUUAGGCUUUCGGGGGAUACUGCCAGACUUGGAACCGGGAGAGGUAAGAGGUACUACGGGGGUAGGAGUGAAAUCUUGUAAUCCCUGUGGGACCACCUGUGGCGAAGGCGUCUUACCAGAACGGGUUCGACGGUGAGGGACGAAAGCUGGGGGCACGAACCGGAUUAGAUACCCGGGUAGUCCCAGCCGUAAACGAUGCUCGCUAGGUGUCAGGCAUGGCGCGACCGUGUCUGGUGCCGCAGGGAAGCCGUGAAGCGAGCCACCUGGGAAGUACGGCCGCAAGGCUGAAACUUAAAGGAAUUGGCGGGGGAGCACAACAACGGGUGGAAGCCUGCGGUUUAAUUGGACUCAACGCCGGACAACUCACCGGGGGCGACAGCAAUAUGUAGGCCAAGCUGAAGACUUUGCCUGAAUCGCUGAGGGGUGGUGCAUGG